ACCUACUGUGUGUUCAAUACAAUGGGAGAUGAAGAGGGAUGGCAGUGUUAUUUUGCUCUUUUAUGGCUUAGACAUAGGCAUGCAGAGGUUAAGCCCACUGCCCAAAGCUGACUUAUUCUCCAUUUUCUGCACUGGGUUAGGAGUCAGUACAGUAAAUUAAAGUUUGUUAGAUGUGCAUUUUCACAGCUCCAGGCCUCCACUUACAGGAGAAUGCAAGCUUUGGGAAGCUGGUCUCUUUCCCUCUCAGCUUCAGAAGAGUUAGUGAAGGUUAGGCACCACUGAGUUAGUGACCAAGGGAAAAUUCUUCCUCUCAAUAGCUAAGGCAGCAGGAUCCCUUACACCAUCCCCUCCCUCACCUCCUUCUUUGUGGUAGACACCUACCGUAUCUUAGCCAUAGCCUCUCAAUGCUCUUCUGAAAUAAGAGUGAAGUCCCCUCUAUUUCUUGUCGUGGAAUAAGGACAGCUUGCUGUGACUCAGCAGACCCUUCUCUUUUUCUACCCAGUAUCUAGUCAUCCUAAUGGAACCUUAAUUCUAGCUAAAAAUACUUUUUCAGACUCCCUUACAUCCAGGAGCGCCAUUUGACAUAGUUCUAGCCAGUGAAAUGAAGUUGAAACCCAGUUGAAGUUGCUACUGGGGCUUCCAGGAAAGCUGUUAGAUGGACAUGUUCUGCAGACCAGAACUCAUCCUUGCCCUCCACCUGUCUUUCUUCCUGGAGGAAGGUGAUGCCAGAGGUACAGCAGCCGAAGUUCAGUCAUAAGCAAUAAACAGGAGAACAAAGGUCUACAUGCCGAGGAUGGCAGAGCGAGGAUGGCAGAAUGGAAAGAGGCUGGAUCCUUUAUGGCAUCAUUGUAUCACCAUAACUCAGUGUGCCCACGUACAAUUACAUAUGCAACAUUUGUGAACAACAUAUUCUCAAACCCAAGUCCACGCAUCUGAGGUCAGCAAUGCCAGCUAACCCUCACACAGGGCCUCCCACCUGCCAGGCACUGCGCGAAGCUCUUCAACUGUAUCAGCUCAUUUAAUCCUUCAACAACUGUAUUACAAGCUUGUCCAUGAAGGAGGUUGUUAUUCCCGUUCCUCAGAGAGGAGACGACACUCAAAGAGCUGUCAAGCUGGUAAGGGACAGAGCAGAGAUUCAAAAUAGAAGUUGACCAAAAAUGUCACCAUGGCUGGGGCUGGCCCUGUGGCUGAGUGGUUAAGUUCGUGCGCUCCACUGCAGGCAGCCCAGUGUUUCGUUGGUUCCAAUCCCAGGCGCGGACGUGGCACUGCUCAUCAAACCACGCUGAGGCAGAGUCCCACAUGCCACAACUAGAAGGACCCACAACAAAGAAUAUACAACUAUGUACCAG
rnacentral:lncRNA from 1 species